ensembl:lncRNA
GGACCAAUAAAGCACUGGUCCUGCUCCAUCCUGUGUCAUCAGGACCCGCAGCUCCUCCAACUGUCUCAGCAAGCAAAGAGAAGACACAAGGAAGACUCCCCACGCUGACCCACUUUGGACUGGGAGAUAUGUUGUGUUUGUCACAAGGAAGACCCUCUAUUUGCUACAGUGAGCUCAAAGCACAAGCUGCUGCCUGCCCCUCCCACCCUUGUAUCCAGCAAGCCUGGGUAAAAGAAAUCUCUCAGUACCCAGAGUACAAGGCACCAGGAUUUUCAAAACAUUAAAAGUGUCUUAGGACUAUAUCCUCCUGAUGUGGAAAGGGGCAGAAUUCUACAAGGGAGGAUGAGGAAAACAGAUUGAAGGUAUGUCUCCAUUUGAAUUGAGGCUAUAGAAAGAGAAGGAAAAAGUAAGGGACACAGGGUAAAUGAUUUUG